AGUUACUGGUACUGUCUGAAUGCAGUGAAAGGAUCCAGAUGAACAGAUGAAGAGAUUAAGUACAAUGUACAUCAAUUACUUGGAUGAAGAGAAUCUGCAACAUGGGGAAAUAAUGUUCCUAAAGAAAAGUCAAAGAAUGUAUACAUGUGAGAUUCUGAAGUAGCUGUACAUGAUGAGUAGGAAUUUGAAGUGAAUUAUGGGAAAAGUGAAAUGGUAAAAAAGAAACUGCUAGCGCUACUGUGCAGACUACCAUCAAUCAACAUUAUCAACAAAAUCAAGUAAUCCUUCUGAAGAUGGAGUAGUACACAAGCACAAUUUUUUAAAGAAAGAAAAGUCAAUGGAAUGAAUCUAAAGAAAAGGUGAAGUGAAUUGUCACUCAUUAUAUUUUUUUUUAAUGUGGACAUGGUCAUUAUUUUAGUUAUGUCAUAACCUUCUUAUCAAUUUUAAGCAGUGCAGACAGAUGCAUUUCUUAUUGCUUUGAAUAGAAUAAAUUAUCAAAAAAGUUUGUAUAUGUUUUUUGAUAUAGAAUUUAAAUUAAAAAAAAAAACAAAUUAUCAAUUACUGAAGUUUUGAAUUUCAGUACACUAGAAAUUUUUCUACCCUGCCAUGAAUAUGGCUGGGGCAUAUAGAGUUUAUCAUGUCCGUCUUCCAUCCUUCCAACCUUCUGUCUGUCCUUCCAUUCCGCUUUGCUUUUAGCUCAGUUCAAAACUAAGUUUCAAAGACACUAUU